GCCGGGGUGGGGUAGCCUGGUAUCCUGUGGGACUGUGGAUCCUUUGACCCGAGUUCAAAUGCCGUGGACUAUGUCCACUACAUUUUCAACCCAUAGUUACGGCUUGAAAAUCUCGGUCCCGGCCCCA
rnacentral:tRNA from 1 species